rnacentral:rRNA from 1 species
AACAACUCACCUGCCGAAUGAAGUAGCCCUGAAAAUGGAUGACGCUUAAGCGGGUAGCCGAUACUACGCCGUCUAGAAAAUAAAUAAUUUUUAGAUGAGUAGGGGGGCGUGGUGAUCGUAUCGAAGCACUGCGUGCGAACGCGUGUGGAACGGUCACUAGUGCAGAUCUUGGUGGUAGUAGCAAAUAUUCAAGUGAGAACCUUGAAGGGCGAAGCGGGGAAGGGUUCCAUGCGAACAUUGAUUGGGCAUGGGUGAGUCGUACCUAAGCCGAGUGGCAAUUGCUUACUCACGCGGCGAAAGGGAAGCGGGUUGAAAUUCCCGCACACGGAUGUGGAAGCGGUGACGCAUUACUGGGGCGGUGACGUUGGCAGUGGCGCUGGGCAGAGUUGUCUUUUCUGUUUAACCGCCUGACGCUUGCACUGUGGAAUCCGCUUGUCGGGAGAAACAGGCAAGGCACGGGUAGAGCGCCGGGCUUUUUCCGGCGUCCAGCUCGCCACUGACGGCCCUUGAAAAACUGUCCUCAGAUAUUUUUUAAAAACUCCACGCCGUGGCGUACCGAUAACCGCAUCAGGUCCCCAAGGUGAACAGCCUCUGCUCGAUAUGAAAAAU